CUUUAAAAUACACCAAAACCAAGGGGCGGGACAGUGAGUAACUCUGUGCAAAUCUGAAGCAUUUUGAGUAACUCUGAGCAAGUAUGAGCAAGAGUAUGAGCUUUUCGUGACUUGAAAUUCCCACCUUGGAACAAUCUUGGUUUUGACUAUCUGUCAACCACUUGGUCAACCAUCCGUCAAAACAAAAUCUUCAUCUUUGCAAAAAAAAACAUGAUUUCGAAGUUUUCGAUAAACGCUCGUGAAAAAAGAAAGUUGAAAGGGCUAAAAAGAUACGGUAGAAACCCCAGAAACCUUGCCAGCAGAAAAUCCGAUGCAAUAACUGGCCAUCAAGAGUUGUCAAUACGAUUCACAUGAUAGUGAUCGACCUGCUAACGAAUGGAGGUGACGAUGUGUAACAGUUCGAUGAGAACUACGACUACAUAGAGAAACAUCGAGUACAACGGGUAAGGACUCGAUGAAAUGGAAAUCCUAAGCCAUCACAGGAACGAUCCCUCCAAAGCCAGUCAAUGGACACAUAAUAGGCCGGGAUCGAUGACCACAUUCAAGCCAAAGCAACUGGUGUCUACGGUGGUGUACAAGGGGCCUACUUAACAUUUGUAAGCGGCAAUGAACAUCUACGGAAAGCAACCAACAUUUCUGCGUGUGGAAGUCAUCGUGCAGCGGAAGUUUCUGGCUGCCCUGGGCUGCUCUAUCGGUACUGAGGUCGGUGCAUACCGGUAUAAGCUGUGAAGCUGGUAAGACGAAGAAAAGGUCGGGAACUGCGCCAAGGUGCUCAGCAGAGCACUGGGAAAUAUCCACUGCGCGAUAACACAUCAUCAGUACCUUAUCUGCUGCAUCGUAUCCACUCGCACCCAAAAACACUUUGAUGGAAGCAUCAGUACAAUUUGAGAGGAGUGCAUUACAUUUCAUUGUUAUAUGUAUGUAUUGAUAUUUUUUUUUAUCUGUAUUAACGAGAUUUUUAGCCCUAGGCUAGUUCAUCUCGGGACCCACGCUUUACUUCCCUUCCGAAGGAAGAACUCACAUUUUGCGAGUUUGUUGGGAGUGGGAUUCGAUCCCAGGUCCUCGGCGUAAUAGUAAAGUGUUCUAACCAUCACACCAGGUCCGCUCCAUGUAUUGAUAUUAUUGUUGAUUGGUAAUAAAACAAACAUUGCGGUGGGGUGUGUUGCUGGGAUAACUCGUACUCUAAUGUAUCCGAAAAUACCCUGAAGGUCUAGCCAAAGCUGCGAUUAACCAUAUAUUUAUAUUUUUAUGAACUUUCCGCUUUAUUAUUAGAAAUUUAAAUGACAGUAAGUUUCGAUGUAAUAUGAAUACAGUAAUAUUCUAAUUUUAUCGCCCCCUCCGCGCGUCUACCGUUCAUAUAGUUAUUUAAUAGUGUGUUCUGUUAUAGUUAACAUUAAUCUCUACCUCUUCUUGAAGGUUAAAGGCGCGGUUUGCAGUGUUUUCAACAUUUCUAACGCGUAUUAAUUCAUACAAUGUUCAAUAACAUUUUUGGAAAGGGGAAUAAUAAAAUUAAAACAUGACUGUAUUGAAAUUAUGGUUGAUCGUUUAUGCUUCUGGAUUUAUGAAAAUUUGUGAGAUUAUUUCUUAGUUUUUGAACGUCUUCAAUACUUUAUGCAAACAAAAAUGAUCAAAGGUAAGUUGGUUUCAACUAAGGUGCGAUGGGACUCAUACAUAAUAUGUUUACUUUUAGUACGCCUAUAUAAUAAGAUAUUGCUCAAAGCAAUUAAAAUCUGUUUUCGAACAGGUUCACCAAAUUAUUCCAAAUAGACGCACAAUGCGUUUACUUUGAAAUAGUUCACUUUUGCUUUGAAUUAUUCAUUAUUAUUAUUAAUAUUUAUUAAAGACACUUUACCACUUAGGGGCCGUCCAUAUACCACGUGGACAGAAAAAUCGUGAUUUUUGACCCCCUCCCCCCUCCUCGUGGACAAGCGUGGACUUUUGCUUGACCCCUACCCCCCUCCCUACAUGUCCACGUGGACAUCAGAAAAAAUACUGUAAUUUUUUUAACAAACAAAAAAUGUUAUACCAUAUUUUUUUUUUUUUGAAGAAUGAUUUAUUCUUUGUAAAUUAGGUAUGUCUAUUUUUUUAUGAUUACAAACAUUGUAUAGCUUUCGAAAGUAACUUGUAUUUCAAACAUUGGUUUAUUGGUCUGAGUGUUUUCAUUUUUUGUUUUGAAUGUUAGCAUAUUGGCUGACUUUUUGUUGGGAUGAUAAAUGUGGUGACAUCUUGAAAACUACCAACGAUUUUUGGAAUUAAAGAAAUGCAGCACCAUUUCGAAGGUGCGUGUUGUAGCUCAAAGCGAAAGGACUUAAAUCUUAUAAAACAGAAAAUCAGACAUUUAUUGCUGACUGCACCCCAAAUUGGACUGACACAAUAGUGUGCACACACCUUCAAAGUGUGAUUACAGCGCAGGGAUACGUCGGAUCGAAUUGAGGUCUUCGGUGCACUUAUUCCUUGUAAAUGGAGGAAUAAGUGCACCGAAGACGUUGAGACGAUCCGAGGCAAAUGUGCACUUUUAUCACACUUUACCAAAAGUACCAAAAAAAGUGUGAUAGUCCAAUUUGAUAUGUAGUCUGCAAUAUAAGACAUUUUUUUUAAGAAGAAAAAUUUAGAAUUUAGAAAAUCUUGAACAUUUCCAAAAAUAUCGUAGGACUUUGCGGGUUUUAAAUAAUUGAUUUAAAACAUUAAAAAGUCCCUCAGAACUUCAACGAAAAUUCGAAUACAAGCUUUAAACUGUAAUGAUCAGUAAUUAAUUAUGAAACUCUGGAAUUCUUUUUGACGAAAAAUAUCAGGUUAUACAGAAUUUCUGAUAUUUUUUCAAGAAGUUCGGCUGGUAAUUUUUUUUAUGUAAAACCAUAAUUUAUUUCUUGGUGGAUAAGCCACCCUUUACUAAAACAAAAGGUGCACCAAAGCAACAUUUCAAAAACUUAAUACAUAGUGUUGUUUAAGUUUUGAAAACCAUUUUGAAACUGAAAUGAUGGGUUUAUGACGGGUCUAAAUCUGAGUCUCAGGUCUAAAUAUCUCUUUCCCAAAAAUGUGUUUGGUUAAAUCUGUUAUAAAGAGAAGCACAUUAAAAAUACAUGAUUUGUUUCGUUGAUGAAUAUUUUUUAUUCUUGAAGCAAUGCUGUCCACGUGGACAACUCACAGACCCCCACCCCCCUCUCCGUGGACAGCCGUGGACUUUUCUCCAACCCCCUCCCCCCCUAAAGUUGUCCACGUGGUAUAUGGACGGCCCCUUAUAA